GCCCGAGUGGCGGAAUGGCAGACGCACCGCACUCAAAAUGCGGCGGGUAAAACCGUGUGGGUUCGAGUCCCACCUCGGGCAC
rnacentral:tRNA from 1 species